CUUAACCAAUUAAAGCAACCAUAGGUGGUAAAACCCAAUGUUUUAAAGAUCAAACAGAACCAACCAGUUGAACCGAAAAUCUGUCAGGUGCAUUGGUCUAUUUGACUCCAAAAUUAGCUUGUUCCAAAACCAGUGAAACUAAGUGAAAUAAACCAGCUGAACUGGAUCAAAAUCGGUAGGUAAAGUUGCUCAAAAAAUUGUAGUGAAGAACUAACUUGAACCGGUCAAUCUUAAAAAUUUUAAAUUUUGAAGUUUAUUGAAAUAUUUUAAUUUUAAAAAUUAAGUGUUAGAGCAAAUAAAAGGCUGAUGCCAAGUUAUAAUUACGUAUAUAUGAUAUGAUAAUUUUACAGUUGAACCAUUGAUACGUGAAUCAUAUCUUUACUACUUCAAUGAUCGGUCCAGUUUUUAUAACAAUGAUAAUGACAUUUUUAGGUUCAACUGAGCCGAGAAAAAAUUGAAGAGCAACAUAAUUGUCAUAAUGUGCUUAUUGAAAGUGACUCAACUUUGGCAAUUGGGUGGACUCUGGAGGGUAAUAAAAGACCUCCGAAACUGAUACAACUUUUUAAUGAGAUAGAUUAUCUGUGGCAUUUGGUUUCCUGUGUUGGUAUUCAACAUGUACUGCGGUAGGGAAGAUGUACUGUGGGUUUUAUCUGAACCUUUGCUGUAGCUCACAUGAGAGAGAUGUUCUCAUAAUUUCUAUAUUUUUCAAUAAAGUAUUUUGUUUUAGAAAAAAAAAUUUCUUGUUUUAAAGUGGGGGGAGGGGGUUUUACAAAAUGGGGGAUAAAAGUAAUUGUUAUUAUCCAUCUGAGAAGCACAUAAGCAAUCAAGAAAUCAAGUUAGCUUUAACAGAUGUUCAAGUUCCAGCUAUUUACUGCUCAUCAUAAAAAGCCUUCAUUCUCAUUCCAAGGCAGCCUAUUGUAUCCUUAAACUGCCUCAUUCAUCCAUGCCUGUAAGUUAUAAAAUUCAAAAAAUUCAAGGAGUAAUAAACACCAUUGCAGAACUUAUAAAUAUAUACCGACCUCUGGAGCCAUCCACCGAUAAGUACCAGUUUCUGCAGUCAUAAUACCAGGUUGAUUGUACACUUUGGCUACACCAAAAUCAGCAACCUUAACUACCUGUUGGAAAAGUUUUUCAGCAACCAAAAUGGUAGGUGAAAUGCUAAUUUAUGUUUUGAAAAGUGAAAAAUUUAAACAGAACUAGCAAAAUCAUAAAGCAUAUGAAUUUUUAAGCUCUGUCUCAAGAAUUUCAAAAUUCACUGUAGAUCAUCAAUUACAUGAAAUCUUGUAGCAUCUAAGUAUAGACUUGUACUAUGUUUUCAACUUGUAUGCACCAUAGGUAAAGAUCAAACAGAACCAACCAGUUGAACCAAAAAUCAGUCAGGUGCAUUGGUCUAUUACUCUAUUUGACUCCAAAAUUAGCUUGUUUCAAAACCAGUGAAACUAAGUGAAAAAAACCAGCUGAACUGGAUCAAAAUCGGUAAAGUUGCUCAAAAAUUGUAGUGAAGAACUAACUUGAACCGGUCAAUCUUAAAAUUUUCAAUUUUUUUAGUUUAUUGAAAUAUUUUAAUUUUAAAAAUGAAGUUUUAAAGCAAAUAAAAGGCUGAUGACAAGUUGUAAUUACGUAUAUAUGAUAUAAUAAUUUUACUGUUGAACCAUUGAUACGUGAAUCAAUAUCUUUACUAAUUCAAUGAUCGGUUCAGUUUUUAUAACAAUGAUAACGACAUUUUUAGGUUCAACCGACCCGAGAAAAAAUUAAAGAGCAAUAGCCUACCUUUAUCUUUUACUGAAAGAUUAUCACAUUUCUUUCUUGUUUUAAAGUGGGGGGAGGGGGUUUUACAAAAUGGGGGAUAAAAGUAAUUGUUAUUAUCCAUCUGAGAAGCACAUAAGCAAUCAAGAAAUCAAGUUAGCUUUAACAGAUGUUCAAGUUCCAGCUAUUUACUGCUCAUCAUAAAAAGCCUUCAUUCUCAUUCCAAGGCAGCCUAUUGUAUCCUUAAACUGCCUCAUUCAUCCAUGCCUGUAAGUUAUAAAAUUCAAAAAAUUCAAGGAGUAAUCAACACCAUUGCAGUACUUAUAAAUAUAUACCGACCUCUGGAGCCAUCCACCGAUAAGUACCAGUUUCUGCAGUCAUAAUACCAGGUUGAUUGUACACUUUGGCUACACCAAAAUCAGCAACCUUAACUACCUGUUGGAAAAGUUUUUCAGCAACCAAAAUGGUAGGUGAAAUGCUAAUUU
rnacentral:lncRNA from 1 species